rnacentral:rRNA from 1 species
CUACGGGAUGCUCCAGUGGGGAAUCUUGCACAAUGGAGGAAACUCUGAUGCAGCGAUGCCGCGUGAGUGAAGAAGGCCCUUGGGUUGUAAAGCUCUUUUGUCGGGAAAGAUAAUGACUGUACCCGAAGAAUAAGGUCCGGCUAACUUCGUGCCAGCAGCCGCGGUAAUACGAAGGGACCUAGCGUAAUUCGGAAUUACUGGGCGUAAAGCGCGCGUAGGCGGUAAGUAAGUUAAUUGUGAAAGCCCAAAGCUCAACUUUGGAAUUGCAAUUAAAACUACUUAGCUAGAGUUUAUCAGAGGAAAGCGGAAUACAUAGUGUAGAGGUGAAAUUCGUAGAUAUUAUGUAGAACACCAGUUGCGAAGGCGGCUUUCUGGGAUAACACUGACGCUGAGGUGCGAAAGUAUGGGUAGCGAAGAGGAUUAGAUACCCGCGUAGUC